AAUUUUUAAAUAUUUUCCAAUAUUUGAAACGUUGCAUUUAAAUUGCUGUUUUUUGAACGAAUGAAUUUUACAAGAAUUCUAACGAAGACAGGGAGACCACACAUGAAGGGACAAGAAGAGAUGAAGAAGAAAAAGCGAAAGAGCUCACGAUACGAAAUCAGUCCUUGUAUGAUAAAUCCGAAGCUCCGGCAACUCUCAAGUAGUUCUUCAAAUCUUUCUGCAUACAUUUUACAUCUUUACAAAAACUAUAGAAUUCUACCUUCGUUGAGAAAGUAAAAAAGAAAAAAAUAAAGUAAAAAGACGUAGAAAGGACAUAUCUGAAAAUUAUAUGAACGUAUUAAUAUCUGUAGAAGUAGCUUUAGUCAAAAGAAAAGUAAAAUUAUCCACCAAUAAGGAGAAGUAAAAUCGCUGACAGAUUGGUUAGACAUGGUAUGAAUAAAAGCGAAUGUUCUCGAUGGUAAUUGGAAUUUGGUUUAAUUCCAGGUCGAAGGCAAAUGUAACGAGAAUCUUAAAACAGCGUCGUGUGUGGUCUCAAUGGCAGUGCCGUCAGUCAAAAUCUCUCCCGACCUCUCCAUCUCCGUUGAAUCCAAAGUUUUCUGGCUGCUUGAGCGGAUCUGUUUCUUGUGCGCGCUUGCGCGCAAAUUUAUCUAUCCUUUUCUUUCCCUUUCGUACAUGGGACACGUUCAGCAAAUCAAAAUACGAUGGCAGUAAAAGAAGAGCACAGAAGCGGUUGCCUGAACGAAUAUCAGCGGUCGUCGUUGCCAACAACGAUGCUAUAGUCGCGAAGUAAAGAGAUCGACUCCAGAAAUACAUCCCGAGACCAGGGUAGAA